rnacentral:ncRNA from 1 species
AUCAAGCUGACUUCAGUAUCGGUAUCUUCCAUCGACAUUUGGACUUCUCCUAAUCACCUCGGUUUCAUAGCCGAGGUUUUU